rnacentral:rRNA from 1 species
CAGGGUUCGAUUCCGGAGAGGGAGCCUGAGAAACGGCUACCACAUCCAAGGAAGGCAGCAGGCGCGCAAAUUACCCACUCCCGGCACGGGGAGGUAGUGACGAAAAAUAACGAUACGGGACUCAUCCGAGGCCCCGUAAUCGGAAUGAGUAUACUCUAAAUCCUUAUACGAGUAUCCAUUGGAGGGCAAGUCUGGUGCCAGCAGCCGCGGUAAUUCCAGCUCCAAUAGCGUAUAUUAAAGUUGUUGCGGUUAAAAAGCUCGUAGUUGGAUCUGUGUCCCGCGCCGUCGGUUCACCGCCUGUCGGUGUUAAACUGGCGUGUAUGCGGGACGUCCUGUCGGUGGCGGAACGGGGCUUCGUCAAACCGUAGGGGGUCCGUUCCCCGGAUUCCUGAAGGUUGGCGUACGUUUCCGGCCGCCUUGUCAAUCCCGCCGCGGUGCUCUUCACCGAGUGUCGAGGCGGGCCGGCACGUUUACUUUGAACAAAUUAGAGUGCUUUAAGCAGGCUCUUUCCCGCCUGUAUAUUGUGUGCAUGGAAUAAUGGAAUAGGACCUCGGUUCUAUUUUGUUGGUUUCCGGAAUCUGAGGUAAUGAUCAAUGGGGACAGGCGGGGGCAUUCGUAUUGCGACGUUAGAGGUGAAAUUCUUGGAUCGUCGCAAGACGGACCGAAGCGAAAGCAUUUGCCAAGUAUGUUCUCGUCGAUCAAGAACGAAAGUUAGAGGUUCGAAGGCGAUCAGAUACCGCCCUAGUUCUAACCAUAAACUAUGCCUGCCAGCGAUCCGCCGGCGUUCCUCCGAUGACCCGGCGGGCAGCUUCCGGGAAACCAGAGCUUUUGGGUUCCGGGGGAAGUAUGGUUGCAAAGCUGAAACUUAAAGGAAUUGACGGAAGGGCACCACCAGGAGUGGAGCCUGCGGCUUAAUUUGACUCAACACGGGAAACCUCACCAGGCCCGGACACCGGAAGGAUUGACAGAUUGAGAGCUCUUUCUUGAUUCGGUGGGUGGUGGUGCAUGGCCGUUCUUAGUUGGUGGAGCGAUUUGUCUGGUUAAUUCCGAUACCGAACGAGACUCUAGCCUACUAACUAGACGUUUCCGGUAUCCACAAUCGUGCUCCCGGCGAGUAAAUUUCUUCUUAGAGGGACAGGCGGCUUCUAGCCGCACGAGACUGAGCAAUAACAGGUCUGUGAUGCCCUUAGAUGUCCUGGGCCGCACGCGCGCUACACUGAAGGAAUCAGCGUGUCUUCCCUGUCCGAAAGGACCGGGUAACCCGCUGAACCUCCUUCGUGCUAGGGAUUGGGGCUUGCAAUUGUUCCCCAUGACCGAGUUCCCAGUAAGCGCGAGUCAUAAGCUCGCGUUGAUUACGUCCCUGCC